UGGGGAAUAUUGGACAAUGGGCGGAAGCCUGAUCCAGCCAUGCCGCGUGUGUGAAGAAGGCCUUUUGGUUGUAAAGCACUUUAAGCGAGGAGGAGGCUACUUGGAUUAAUACUCUAGGAUAGUGGACGUUACUCGCAGAAUAAGCACCGGCUAACUCUGUGCCAGCAGCCGCGGUAAUACAGAGGGUGCGAGCGUUAAUCGGAUUUACUGGGCGUAAAGCGUGCGUAGGCGGCUUCUUAAGUCGGAUGUGAAAUCCCUGAGCUUAACUUAGGAAUUGCAUUAGAUACUGGGAAGCUAGAGUAUGGGAGAGGAUGGUAGAAUUCCAGGUGUAGCGGUGAAAUGCGUAGAGAUCUGGGGGAAUACCGAUGGCGAAGGCAGCCAUCUGGCCUAAUACUGACGCUGAGGUACGAAAGCAUGGGGAGCAAACAGG
rnacentral:rRNA from 1 species